UACGUAGGGUGCGAGCGUUAAUCGGAAUUACUGGGCGUAAAGCGUGCGUAGGCGGUUCGUUAAGUCAGCUGUGAAAGCCCCGGGCUCAACCUGGGAAUUGCGGUUGAAACUGGCGAACUAGAAUCUGGCAGAGGGGGGUGGAAUUCCACGUGUAGCAGGUGAAAUGCGUAGAGAUGUGGAGGAACACCGAUGGCGAAGGCAGCCCCCCUGGGCUGAGAUUGACGCUCAGGCACGAAAGCGUGGGGAGCAAACAGG
rnacentral:rRNA from 1 species